UACGUAGGGGGCAAGCGUUGUCCGGAUUUAUUGGGCGUAAAGCGCGUGUAGGCGGCCCUGCAAGUCGGGUGUGAAAUCCCACGGCUCAACCGUGGAAGUGCAUUCGAAACUGCAGGGCUAGAGUCCUGGAGAGGAAGGUGGAAUGCUUGGUGUAGAGGUGAAAUUCGUAGAUAUCAAGCGGAACACCGGUGGCGAAGGCGGCCUUCUGGACAGUGACUGACGCUGAGACGCGAAAGCGUGGGGAGCAAACAGG
rnacentral:rRNA from 1 species